AAAUUUAUGUCGGUGGUCUCACAUUUGUUGUCUACUAAAGUUUCUGUGAUGUUGCAGCAUUUUCUUAUAAAUGGAACUUCAGAUCCUUCAGCUAGGUUAUUAUAAAACAGAAAUGUGAUGUCAUGUCACGCCUUGAUAUUUGCUUAUUGAAAUUCAAACAAUUCCUAGAAUUAAGUUUGUAUUUAGUCACUCGACACUUACCAAACAAGAUUGUUGAAACAACAACAACGAGCUUUCCGAUGGGAAGUCUAUUCAUGACUGAAUUACUUACGCUCAACCACUGCUUAUCUUGCACUGAUAUAGGUACUUAUCAAGUUUACUCUUCUAUCCUGCAUCCACAAUUUACUAAACAGAGAGACAAAACCUUUUUUUUAACAAUUAAUAUUAAUCAAUUGUAUUAAAGUUAACAUUAAUUGUUAAUUUGUAUAAUUAUUAAUUACACAAAUAUAUGUGAUUGCUUGGCCCGAGGCUCCUUAGUGUACAAAUAUAUAAUUCCUGCCAUCCAGGAGGGCUUAACAUUGAACUACCCAUUCAGUGCUGUGGAGGAGGAGUCAAACUAUUUUACAAUAUAUUUUUCAUUGUCAAUUAAAAAGUCAUGGGUUGUGCCAGAAUACCAACCAAGAAUUGGUAGCAAGGCAAAUAAAUACAAAUCAGAUACCGUAACCACUUGGCCACUCUGGUCUCCAUGGAACCAAUGUAUACAUAUUGUUCAUCCAGAGUGCUUAAUGUCCAAAUACCUGUUGAGUGUCGGGUGUAUUCCAGGAUUCAAACCCAGGACCUCUAGCAUGGCUAAUAUGAGUCAGUCGGACACUCUAUCCACUCGGCCACCUUCGUCCCCCUGAUAUCAAUAAUGUAUAAGAGAACUAAUAAAUGAUAAUAAAUUGAAAUGAGACUGAUAAUGAAGAUGAAAACUUUUUUAUUAUGGUGGUUUUUAUAUAUGUUUCUGGAAAAACAUAACAGAAAAGUUUAUUCAAACCGGUUCACAUUAGAAACACAAAAUAUUGUUUUUGUUGAUACCUCUCUAGACCAACUACACCUUUUUUAAAUUAUUUCUGCUAUCAAUUGAAGCAGUUUGUGUAAAUUUUACUAAUAAGAAAAUUAAAGAAACCAUUUCUAAGAAUUGUAAUACAAUACCUACACAAAAUGCUUACAGAAUUACACUAGACAGCAAGGUAAAUGUUACAAAAAAAAAACGUAAGACCUUCUUAGCUUUUAAGCAUUCCAAACGCCAGUACACAACAAAGUACUUAUGUAAAACUAGAUAUUACAAUCAUAAUGGACAUACACAGUUAUUAGGAUGUCCCAAAAAACCUAAAAAUUGCAAAUUUCCAAAGAUCUACAAAACAUGGUUUACACACCAUGGUAUAUUCACAAUAACGACCUGAACCAGGACCGUGAUAGCUGAAAUUGCAAAAGCAAAACUAGAUGCAGAUACAAUAUUCGGGAUGUGAAUGUAUUGUCCUUUAAAAGCUAUUGUAUCCUGUCCUCUCCUUAUAGAACACCAUUGAUGUUAAUCCAUCCAGAAAUUUGAUUAGUAGGCCUGGUUUCAGUGGUUGAAUUUCUUUUAUUUUGUGGUUUCCAAAUGCAGUUCCUCCUGCAGGCAAAUGUGCCACAGUUUGUUAGUAGUUGUGUGUGUUGGUGUCUCCUACUUCCUUGCAUAAUCUAACCAUACUGUGUUGGAUUAUACCAUUUUUCCUGAAAUGCCUAUUCUCUCAAUGUCCUGUUAAUAAUUCUGUUAGGAGUUAAAGUUUUCCUGCUUCCUUUGAUGCAUGCACUCUGUUGUUUCUUUCCUUCCAAAAAUCGCAUGAAGGUUGUUGGAUUAGUUAUGUUCAAUGAGUGAAUUCUACUGUUUCCUCAUUUUCAUCCUGUCUUUUAAGAUACGCUUUGAUAGUGUGAAAUCCAUAUGCUUACAUUAGCUGUUCUUGUACCCAUGGUUCAGUUGAACUGAGUACAUCACUCAAUUGAAUGAACUUCAGCCCGGAAGAUACUACAGUAUUUUCUUAUGGGUUUUGAGUAUUUGGCUCCAGGACUCCUACUCCAUACCUACUUUUGUUCUAGAUCCAUCAGUGUAUCAGCAGAUUGAAGCCAUUCUCAAGGGGCCGCAGUAGCCAAGUGGUUAGCGUGAGAGAAUCUCGGCUCGUAGAUCCCGCGAUCGUGGGUUCGAUUCCCGUCUCCUCUGGCCUUUUUCUCACGCUACCCUUCCCCCCAAAACGAAUACGCAUAAUAACAUUGUCAUUGGCUAAUAUGCUCAGAACAUAAAGCCAUUAAAAAGAAUAGGAAAAAAAGCCAUUCUCAACAGGAACAUUAACAUCUCUUGUUUCACAGAGAUCAUGAGAUGC